GAGAGAGAGAGAGAGAGAGAAUAGGUGUGUAUGAGACAAGAGCCAAUCCUUUUGAUCAAAAAGUUUGAAAGCAAACAAAAGGGUAAUCAACUACCUAGACCUCCAUCUCAUAUUCUACUUCAAGGGUCAACUUAGAAGGAAAAAAGAAAGAAGCAGCAAAUUCAGCAAUACUGUAGACAGGAACUGGCAAUGAGAGCAGACCGACAUAAGCAUAAGAACAACUUUCUGUCUCCACACAUUUUCAUCUGUAUUUUAUUUCUUGAAAGUGAGAGAGAGAAAGAGAGUCAACACUCAACAACUCCCUAAAAGAAAAUGAUAGAUGGAGGAGGAUGGAUAAUAAGAAAGCUCUUCUUUGUUUCUUUUUUCUUCUCUCGAAAUAGAAAUGGGGGCUAAAGAAUAUGAAAAGAAGAUCAAGAAAUCACCCAGAUGAAUCUCUGUUUCAUAUAUAAUCCUGAACUCAAACACCUUCCAUGAUAGUUUUAAGAAAGCACACUAGUUUUUGGCUAGGAAGAAGAGAAAGAACAGAGAAUUUGGAGUAAAAUAGCUUAACAAGUAUUGGGUGGAGAAGGAGAUCAAAGAGGAGAGAACAAAAGAGAGAGUUUUGCAGAAGGUUUUGGCUAGUGAAGCAAGCACUAAACAAGGAGCUUAUAGUAGGGUUGAGAGCCAAAAAGGAGAGAGGAGAGAGAAGGAAAAAAAGAGAAUUUUUUUUCUUUUUUUACAG
rnacentral:misc_RNA from 1 species